rnacentral:rRNA from 1 species
AGAGACAGCAGUCGCCGCGGUAAUACGAAGGGUGCAAGCGUUAAUCGGAAUCACUGGGCGUAAAGCGUGCGUAGGCGGUGAGUUAAGUCUGCUGUGAAAUCCCCGGGCUCAACCUGGGAAUGGCAGUGGAUACUGGCUCGCUAGAGUGUGUCAGAGGAUGGUGGAAUUCCCGGUGUAGCGGUGAAAUGUGUAGAGAUCGGGAGGAACAUCAGUGGCGAAGGCGGCCAUCUGGGACAACACUGACGCUGAGGCACGAAAGCGUGGGGAGCAAACAGGAUUAGAUACCCCCGUAGUCCCUGUCUCUUAUAA